rnacentral:rRNA from 1 species
AGUCGAGCGAUGACGCUCCUUCGGCGUGUAAUCAGCGGCGAGCUGGUGAGUAACACGUGGGUGAUCUUACCCGAACGAGGUGAUAAGUGUAGGCGGCUUGUGCUGAUACCUGAUGUGCUCAGCAGCACAGUCUGUUGAGUAAAGCUAUUGCUCUUUGCGAUGGGCCCGCGGGCCAUCAGCUACUAGGUAUGGUAAACGCCUACCGAGGCUAAGACGCGUACGGGGCGUGAGAUCGCAAUCCCCCUGACUGGGGUUGACACACGGGCCAGACUCCUACGGGAGGCCAGAGUGAUGAAUAUUGCUGCAUGCGACGAAUCUCUGACGCAGCGACGCCGUCUGGUCAAUCAAGGCCUUCUGCGUCGAAGAGCGCUUUCCUGUUGUAAGAGAAUGGACAGAAGCCCAAGAAUAUGCCCGGGCUAAGUACGUACCACCGAGCUAAGGUAAUACGUAGGGGGCAAGCGUUAUCCGUAUUGACUGCGCUGUACGAGCGUAGAGGCGGUAAAGUGAGCUGAGCGUGACAGCCCUGUGCUUAGUUCAGGGACGCCGUCCAAUAGUGCGAAAGUCGAGGGCAGCGGAGGGAUGUAGAAUUCCCGGAGU